rnacentral:rRNA from 1 species
ACUCAAAUGAAUUGACGGGGACCCGCACAAGCGGUGGAGCAUGUGGUUUAAUUCGAGGCAACGCGAAGAACCUUACCAGGACUUGACAUGUCUAGUAUGGGGUAGAGAAAUUUACUCCUUCAGUUCGGCUGGCUAGAACACAGGUGCUGCAUGGCUGUCGUCAGCUCGUGUCGUGAGAUGUUGGGUUAAGUCCCGCAACGAGCGCAACCCUCACCCUUAGUUACCAUCAUUCAGUUGGGCACUCUAAGGGAACUGCCCGUGACAAGCGGGAGGAAGGUGGGGAUGACGUCAAGUCUUCAUGGCCCUUACGUCCUGGGCUACACACGUGCUACAAUGGCGAUCACAGAGGGAUGCCAACUCGCGAGAGUGCGCUAACCCCUAAAAGUCGUCCCAGUUCGGAUUGUACUCUGCAACUCGAGUGCAUGAAGUUGGAAUCGCUAGUAAUCGUGGAUCAGCACGCCACGGUGAAUACGUUCCCGGGUCUUGUACACACCGCCCGU